AAGGGCACCACAAGAACGCGUGGAGCAUGUGGCUUAAUUUGACUCAACGCGGGAAAUCUUACCGGGUCCGGACACACUGAGGAUUGACAGGCAAUAUUAUUUAAAUGAACUUCGGUUUGUUUUUAUAUGUAAAUAUGCUAGUCCUUUCAUGAUUAUGUGAUAGGUGGUGCAUGGCCGUUCUUAGUUCGUGGAGUGAUCUGUCUGCUUAAUUGCGUUUCACUAAGAGCUUAUAUAUAAACGUAUGUUUGCUCUCAUAUUUGACCCCCGCUUGAUUUUUCUUCUUCGGAGGAUUUCAUUGAACGUGUGUGUUGUCAUUUGUGUUUCAAGCAUCAUACAAUUAAGCUCUGAAAGCAACGAACGUGACCGCAACCUCUUGUUGCCUCUAAUUUAAUUUUUUUUUUCCUUCGGGAAGAGAGAAUGCAAAAGAGGCUUUAAAACUAGAGGGACCGCUGUAACUUUUUUAAACCAGAGGAAGGUUGCGGCAAUAACAGGUCUGUGAUGCCCUUAGAUGUUCCGGGCUGCACACGUGCUACAAUGAUUGUUGCAGUGAGCAUCUCAAAUAAACACCGUGGUCAAGCUAAUUUGGUGUACUUUGAUUGUUUGAUGGUCGAUUUCGGUUGAUCGUUGGACUUUCUUUGUUAUCCUUAUUCAGUCAGACUCGGUUAAGCCUGCUUCGAAAGUAAGUAGGUAAUCAACCCGAAGUAACGAUUUCCCAACUUUAGCACACCUAUAUGCGGCGUUUAUACCCUGGCAUUUGCUUGUCAAGUGUUUUUGUGUGUAUAGAUGUUUUCUGCAUGUGCUUUUGUCAAUUCAAGGUGGGGACAAACCAUUGUUAAUUGUUGGUUUCGGUCUUAACUAGGAAUGCCUUGUACGGGUCUUUGGUUCAACAAACCACCCGGAAUACGUCCCUGCCCUUUGUACACACCGCCCGUCGCUCUUACCGAUGGACUUAUCUGUGAGUUUGAGGGACUGGAUAUUUAACUUUCGAGUUAAUCUUCUAUGGAAACUUAAACGAACAGGUUGGUCUAAAGGAAAGAGAAGUCGAACAAGGCA
rnacentral:rRNA from 1 species